rnacentral:rRNA from 1 species
UACGUAGGGGGCGAGCGUUGUCCGGAAUGACUGGGCGUAAAGGGCGCGUAGGCGGCCGAUUAAGUAUGGAGUGAAAGUCCGUUUUUCAAGGACGGAAUUGCUUUGUAGACUGGUUGGCUUGAGUGCGGAAGAGGUAAGUGGAAUUCCCAGUGUAGCGGUGAAAUGCGUAGAGAUUGGGAGGAACACCAGUGGCGAAGGCGACUUACUGGGCCGUAACUGACGCUGAGGCGCGAAAGCGUGGGGAG